rnacentral:rRNA from 1 species
UGGGGAAUAUUGCACAAUGGGCGAAAGCCUGAUGCAGCGACGCCGCGUGAGUGAAGAAGUAUUUCGGUAUGUAAAGCUCUAUCAGCAGGGAAGAAAAUGACGGUACCUGACUAAGAAGCCCCGGCUAACUACGUGCCAGCAGCCGCGGUAAUACGUAGGGGGCAAGCGUUAUCCGGAUUUACUGGGUGUAAAGGGAGCGUAGACGGCGAAGCAAGUCUGAAGUGAAAACCCAGGGCUCAACCCUGGGACUGCUUUGGAAACUGUUUUGCUAGAGUGUCGGAGAGGUAAGUGGAAUUCCUAGUGUAGCGGUGAAAUGCGUAGAUAUUAGGAGGAUCACCAGUGGCGAAGGCGGCUUACUGGACGAUAACUGACGUUGAGGCUCGAAAGCGUGGGGAGCAAACAGG